AGCGAACGCUGGCGGCAGGCCUAACACAUGCAAGUCGAACGAACGUUCCGGGGUUAGUGGCGGUCGGGGGAGUAACACGUGGGACGGUGCCGUUAGGCUCGGAAUACCUCUGGGACACUUGUGCUAACACCGGAUGAGCCCCGCGGGGGCAAGAUACGUCGUCCGUAGAGCGGCCGGCGUUCGUUUAGCUAGUCGGUUGUGGUAAUGGCGCAUCAGGGCGACAAACAGUAGCUGGUCAGAGAGGAUCAUCAGCCACAUUGGGACUGAGCCUCGGCCCAGACUCCUACGCGAGGCGGCAGUGGGUAAUCUUGCGCAAUCGGCGAAGUCCUGACGCAGCCAUGCCGCGUGAAUGAUGAAGGUCUUAGGAUUGUAAAAUUCUUUCACCGGGGACGGUAAUGACGGUACCCGGAGAAGAAGCCCCGGCUAACUUCGUG
rnacentral:rRNA from 1 species